UCUCUCUCCCCUUCUCAUUUCUUCGUGCGACACCUCCAUGAAUAGCUGAUGUUGAAGACGGCAGCUCCUUCCUUUGAAAAUUGAAGCCCACACGUUCCUCUUCUUCACCGAUUCUGCCAGCCACACGCCAACCCCACUACCGUUGGUCUCCUUCGGUCAAAACUCCUCUCGCUGGCCUUGGUGGUUGAGUGGCGGCAUUCACGAAGCCUUGAAGACCGAAACCCACCGAGGACUCAGCAGCCACCGAAGCUGCAGCAGCUUCGUGUCUUUUUCUUGUGCGGUCUUCACGUCUGUCGCUUCAAUGGUUCCUUUGCUGUUGGUAUCUCCAUCUUAUUGCUUGAGAUCGACCGAAGCAGCACGCGCCAGCACAUCAACUCCACGCGGCCAACGUGCAGCUGUUCCUCAAGUCUUCCGUGUGUGCAGCCAACGAAAGCAACUCAACCAACGAAGCCGCCAUCUUCAGUCAACAACCGAGCUCCUCAUCUCCUUAGUUGACCCAUCGCCAGCACCGAGUUGAAGCCACGAAGACCGAAGUCGCACGCGUCCGCUCCUUCCAAUUUGUUGAGUCAACCGAACAAAUCCCCUGCAGCUCAUUUCAACCGCCGAAGAAAUUGAUUGGCUGAAGUCGCAGUACCUCCAACGAAGACCGAAGCAGCCCACGCAAAUUUCUCUUCGUGGAUUGCGGUCCAACUCUGCAGUCCAGCGAAGCCAAAAGCCUCCAGUCCACCUUCAGUUUAAUUGCUCAGCCCAUCUUCAGCAGCACCAGCCCAGCAUCAAUUGGAUUUGAAGCACAGCAGUUUCAAUCUUUCGGGCCCAGCAAAGACAGGCCCAAUUCAGUUUUAUUUCAAGCCCUUUUUCAACAAUUGUAGUCUUCAAGCCCAGUUUUUGAAGCCCAAUUGCAGCUAGGCCCAAGUCCAAGAGCAAGCCCGUUCCAGUGCAAGAACAAAUCUCAUUUCAACUGAGAUUUGUUGGGCCAAGUCCAAGGCCCGGUCCAAGCCCGCCGGUGUUGUCGAAAGCCUGAUUUCGGCCGCCGUCGCGGUGAUUCGGUCUCCGCUUUUGUCAAGUGAGUUUUACUCACUAAAGCUUUCUUAGUUUGCUAAUUAUACUUAAGGUUGGUUAGAUUUAAUUAAAUGCAAUUAGGUGGUUAGAUUAAUUUAGAUCAAUUAAAUUAGAGACUUAAUGAUGCAUAUUAGGUGGUUAGAAAUAGACAU
rnacentral:lncRNA from 1 species